UACAGAGGUCCCAAGCGUUGUUCGGAUUCAUUGGGCGUAAAGGGUGCGUAGGCGGCGCGGUAAGUCGGGUGUGAAAUCUCGGGGCUUAACUCCGAAACUGUAUUCGAUACUGCCGUGCUUGAGGACUGGAGAGGAGACUGGAAUUUACGGUGUAGCGGUGAAAUGCGUAGAUAUCGUAAGGAAGACCAGUGGCGAAGGCGGCUCACUGGCCCGAUACUGACGCUGAGGCACGAAAGCGUGGGGAGCAAACAGG
rnacentral:rRNA from 1 species